GACGAACGCUGGCGGCGUGCUUAACACAUGCAAGUCGAACGCUGAAGCUUGGUGCUUGCACUGGGUGGAUGAGUGGCGAACGGGUGAGUAAUACGUGAGUAACCUGCCCUUGACUCUGGGAUAAGCCUGGGAAACUGGGUCUAAUACUGGAUACGACAUGCCACUGCAUGGUGGUGUGUGGAAAGGGUUUUACUGGUUUUGGAUGGGCUCACGGCCUAUCAGCUUGUUGGUGGGGUAAUGGCCUACCAAGGCGACGACGGGUAGCCGGCCUGAGAGGGUGACCGGCCACACUGGGACUGAGACACGGCGCAGACUCCUACGGGAGGCAGCAGUGGGGAAUAUUGCACAAUGGGCGGAAGCCUGAUGAAGCGACGCCGCGUGAGGGAUGACGGCCUUCGGGUUGUAAACCUCUUUCAGCAAGGAAGAAGCGAGAGUGACGGUACGUGCAGAAGAAGCGCCGGCUAACUACGUG
rnacentral:rRNA from 1 species